rnacentral:lncRNA from 1 species
AAAAUAUUUAGGCCGGAGUAUCAUCAGGGAGCAGUAGAUCGAAGUUUUACUUGUUAUUUGGGAGUCUGUCUUUUAUCAUCGUUUAUUGUAAAAGACAAAUUAAGCACAAGUUGACAGGGACAAAGGAAAUUUAUAGGCAUAUUACCAAAUAUUGGUAUGUUGAUCUAUGCAUAGAGAAAAUAAAUGGUUUCUUUCAUUUUGCAAUAUUGAAGUUAAUCAGACGAG